GGAAGGGCAUCCGGCGUAAAACAUUGCCAAAUUUAAUCAUGCGAAUCGUCAGUACUCUGAAUUUCAUACCGGA